CAUAAGGUGUUUUUAAACACCACAAAUAAAAGGAUGCAUCAGAAA
rfam:Caprimulgus carolinensis contig94099, whole genome shotgun sequence.